rnacentral:tRNA from 4 species
GUCUCCAUCGUCUAUCCGGUUAGGACAGCGGCCUCUCACGUCGCUAAGAGCGGUUCAAAUCCGCUUGGAGACGCCA